AUAGAAACAAUGCUGUGCAAGACAUUUGUUUAAGAAAGGACUUGCACCAGAUGGAAGCCACAGGACACCUAAAUCUUUCAGAGAAAGGGAAUUUAUGGCUCCCUUAUCAGCAGAAAACUAACUUCUGCCCACCUCGCUCAGUCAGGAAGUCAGCAUGAGGAUUAGGAGGGAAAAGUCGAUAGUAACCAGACAGAAUCCUGUGUUUGAAUGGAAUUUAUGCAUCAUGUAUGAAAGAUCCAAAGGAGCACAGGUUCCUGCAUUAAACCUCAGUGUGUGAAGUUUCCAGACAUCUCUCUGUGGCUGUGGGGGCAUUCAGAGGCGCAUCUGGAUCAGAGAGCAGUGGUCACCUGGCUGGGAUGCCCCAUGGCAGGUUUUCAUCUUUGAAUGCUUUGCAGUGGACACGGUGCACACAGAACUCCAACCAUGCAAGAAGAGAAGGUGUAGAGUUCUCUUUGUUCUUCAAAGGGACACCAAAUUUCCUCCCUCAGCUUGCUCCACUUGACACUUUGCUUGAAACAAAAAUCCCCCUUUUUGCAAGAAAAGAGCUGUUACUUUUCCUCGUGAGCAUAUGGGGCAAAUCUGCAAAACACCAACUGCCUUCUGUGCUGAGUGCAAUUCAGGUAGCAGUGAUUUGUGUCAGUGAAAUAAACUUUGAUCUCACAGAGCUGAAAUGGAAGCCUGAUCCCACAGAGGUGCCAGGUCCUGAGGUGCUGGAGGGGUAAGCAGUGGUGUGGGGUAAAGAAUUAAUCUCGGGUUACAACAUCAAUGUCUGAUCUCUAUAAAUCUGCAUUAUCACGAAACAAAACAAAAUGAGAUAAAAUACUGAAUCAAUGAAGCCUAUUCCACUUCCCACAGGUUUUAGGCUUAAACCAUGAAGGAAUUACAUUUUCCACACUCCUGUUUCAACCUCUACUUCCCGAGGAGCUGUCUCCUGCUGAAAAUAAAUCCUGCAGCAGGUCAUCAACACCUUGUCAAUAAACAUAUCACCAGGGACAUUCAAUUAAAAAAGUUACUGACCUUACAUAAAUUCUUAACUCCUGGUUAAUCCACACACCUAAUUCCAGGGUUAUAAAUAGUUAGGUUACUUCAUCAGCUCCCCUUUGGUUGAUGCUAUGGAAUAAUGUGCCAUGAGCAUAUUAAGAGGGUACAGCCAUUCCUUUGGACACUUAAAAUGCACAUUCAAGCUUUGUUUGGCAUGUCACAUGCUGUGACAAAAUCCAUGAUGCAAAUCCUUGUCUCUCCAUCUGUGUGACAAUGACAACUCUUGUUAUGGGCCUGGUCCUUCAGUUCCUUGAGCACAGUGACAGUGAGCUACUGUGACCUGGGUGCAGUAGGCUGUGGCCACUUUUGGAAAUUAGAAUUAGUGUAGUGUUCACCUAUGAAAUUGCAGCCCAAUUUUGGGAAAUUAGAACUGGUGUAAUUUUGAUGUAAUCACAGGCAAAGUCCCCCACCCCCACAGAAUGGAAUAUAUAUACCAUGUAAAACCUAUUUCAGUGUAAUACUUCUAGUUAGAAUGGUUAGUACAGGAAAUAUUGCAGUUGUCCCAAGGAGAUGACCAAGGAAAGGUCCUGAAUUUCCCUCUUUACUUGUCCAGAGAGGUGGCAGCAGCCACGUGGGUUUGAUUUGACCCUCUGGAAUAUAAAACCAGACCUGCACAGUGAUGCACUUAACAGAAAUACGGAAAUACAGAAACCCACGCCUCAGACCUGCAGAGUGAUGUUUCAGAAACUCAGAGUGAUGUUUCAAAAAUGGCCGGCUACCCCACUACAAACAUUGCCAGCCCAUUAAGCACAGGUUGAUGGUGUGGUUAUCCCACUGCGGGGAAGGCGGAGAUCCAACCAAACCUUCGCGGGCGCCGCUGGCGCCGGGGCGCGACUUACGUCGAUGAGCUGCUGCUGCUCGCGCUCGGUCAUGCUGGUCAGGCUGUAGUACUUGCCCGAGAGGUCUCCCCGCAGCCCCGAGAGCGCGGUGACCACGACGUUCUCCACCUCCCUGCGCUCGGCGCGGGUGCAGGCGGGCGGCAGGCUCAGCCCGCGGAUGCUGCGCCCGGUGCGCACCCGCGACGACAGCACGUAGCGCUCGUCGAACUGCCCGUGGGUGAUCUGCGGGGAAAAGCGGCCCGGCAACGUCAGAUUUCACGUUUUUUGUGUGUGGCAACAUCAGAUUUCACAUUUUUUUGUGUGUGGUAAGUUGGUGUGAUAUACACGAUACCCUAGCGGUGUUGUAGGAAAUGUUUGUUCAAAAGCGCGGUGUUCGCGUUUUCUGAAAAAUCCCAGGGUUUUCCUCCUGGGAAGGUGAGAAGCCUCAGAGGAAAAUGAAAGCAAUUCUUAUCUCGUUUGCUUCUCCUGCGUUUUGCUGCCUUGGAGUGUGUUUGGGGAUUGUUUACCCAACAGGUGAUUGUUUCAUUGGUUUCACGUGAAUUGUUUUGACUUGUGUGCAAAUUCAUGGGAAUUGUUUUGACCUGACUGUGCCAAGCUGUGUCAGGACUCUGGAGACAGUCACGAGGUUUUGGUUUUAUCUUUUUAGCCUUCUCUACAUAUCCUUUCUGUAUUCCUUAGUAUAGUUUAGUAUAGUAUAGUAUAUGUAGUAUAUAGUGUAUAUAUAUAGAGAGAGUACAUAGUGUGUAUAUAUAUAUAUACAUAUAUAUAAAGAUAAUAUAGCAUCUUAAAAUAAUAAAUCAGCCUUCUGAGAACAUGGGGUCAUAUUCAUCAUUCCUUCCUUCAUCAGGGCACCAAUUGCAAAUACAAUAAAAAAGUAAUAGAGGAAAAGGAGAUGUAAUUAGUGUCACAAAACAGAUGUUUUCAGAUGUUCUUGAGGAAAUAGGAUGAAGGAUGUAGUUUGAGAUAACUAGCAUCCCAAAAUGGAAUAGGCCUCGGGAUAAUUAGAGAGUCAGACUUGAAAUGGACAAAAUGGAAAUUAUUCCAGGUAUCUGUGAAAUAAUAAGGCUUAUUUUUGGAAUAUAAAGCUCGCUUUUAUAACACAAGACUUCGGGCACUUGUGCAACCUGUGGGGUUGUUCAAAGGACAGUGAGGAUGAGGAGAAGCCUUCGUCAGAUGCGACCCCCAAAGAGCCAAAGACCCCUGAGCAACAGCUGGCAGUUCUUCUAUAUCAAAACUUGCUUCCAUCUGUGUUUCAUUCUUAGGUUCUACAUUCAAAAAUCUUUCUGCCAAGCAUCCACAUCUGUGAGACUUCCUUGCCAAACUUUCACCCUGCCCAACACUGGAGCAUGCACUGUGCAAUAUAGUGAUAUAAACUUCAAAAUCAAAAAUAGCAGCAGAUUUACAGGAGAAUAUUGAUGAAUAUUUAUCAGCACACAGUAUAUAAGUUGUGUUUGGAUCCUUUUGCCUUUUGUACAUGAGGCAGGGUGGGAAGCCCUGAUCAGUCAGUUUUCCUUUAUCCUUUAUCCAAACCACUGCCAAAUUUCUUUUUGUAUCUGCUUGAUUAUAUUUGAUUGUUUCAUUUUCUAUGAAAUUGCUGCUCAACUAAAAUUGCUGCUAAAUUUACUUUGUUGUUUAUUAAAUUAGACAUAUAGGGACCUCAUUCAUAACAUGUAUUAGCCUUUGCAUGUUAGUGAUUAUAACUCUUUAGAGAUACUAUGAAUCAUAACUCCUUUUAGCUGCAUGAUGGUAUAAUAUAAUCUAUCAUUGUAAGUGUGCACCGUGUGGCUGACAGAAAUAGUAGUGUAAUGAAUAUAAUAUCUGUGAAAAACACCAUUCACUUGUGUUCAAAUUUUAGAAGAUUAAUAGCAAUGAAAAUAGUAAUAAAAAUGAGGACAAUAAGAGACAAUAAAAAGCAAAGAAUUAUGGACAUCUGGGUGCCUGGCACUCUGCCACAAAGCACACCUUGCUAACAAAGGAUUACCCCUUGAAAGCAAUAGCCUAUUGCAUAUUCAUAGAUUUCAUACAUGAUUCAAAUAUUCCUUUCACACUAGGGUGUUUCUGCUUAAUUUUAGUUUCCUGCCAUCUUGUAAAUCAGUCUUCUUGGUUGCAGGAAGUCUGAGCUUUCCCAAUAAGGAUAAUAAUAAUAAUACUAACAACAACAACAACAACAACAACAACAACAACAACAAUAAUAAUAAUAAUAAUAAUAAUAAUAAUAAUGAUAAUAAUAAUAAUUAUAAUAAUAAUUUUGUUGGGAUCCUGGCAUCUGUUGUUGUUAUCUCUAUCCAGUUAGGGUAAUGCAAAGAAUUUCCUGGUUAUCUUUUCCAUUCCUUACAAAAAGUGUCUUACAUCACAUAGUUUCUAUUUUAAUGUUAUGCUGUAGCCUAAAAACUGUAUUUACCACACUGCCUGAAAGAGAUUAAUACAACACUCCUUAAAAGAGAUGAAUACAGCAUAACUUUCCAACAUAACACAUAUAGUAUUAAUUUCAAUAUUUGUGAAGAGCCAGUCAUAUAAUAUGCAUCUGUAACAAUAUCUAUGUAUUGCUAAUGGGAAUAAUUGUGUGAUGAAUGUACUGUGUUGUUGGAACCCUGGGUGCUGAGAAUUGUAAACUUUCUGUGCUGACAGGCACAGACCCACAAGAGAACACUGCAUUGACCUCAGGCUGUGGAGAGGGCUUCCAAAAUUGAUUAAUAGCACUGGGAUUAGGGGUGUGGAGUUGGUUAGAAGUGUGUGAUCUCACAAGGUGAAAAAACUUAGACUUGGGGUUUUAGUAUAUGGUGACAUAUGGGAACUAAGAUGGAGAAUUUUGGGUGUGGGUUAGAUGUCUUUUUUGCACCUUCAACUUCCUUCUUCACAAAUCUUGGUUGUUUUCUCUAAGUGGGUGAAAGAUGUCUGCAUUGGGGGUUUUGGGUGAUCAUAAUUGGGUUAGAAGCAUAAAUAAUAUAGAUGUCAACUGUUUACUGGAUAUUUUUUAAGAAUUUAUUAUUAUUAUUACAUAAUUGGGACUUAAACAGCCUUGAACAGGCACCAUUUUGGGGCACUUUUGACUUCCUAGGGAGAGCUCACAUCUUGUGAGUUUGUAAUAGAUACGGAUAAUAAAUUUUAGAGUGAGUCAUAGAAACAACAUCUCCCGAGUGUUAUUCACCCUUACUUUGGGGCAAGACAGAGCCUGGCAUUCCAACACUGUGUUAUAGACCUCAGCAAAAGAUAAGAUGUAAAGAUACUAAGAUGUAAAAAAGGCUUUUGUGUAACUAAAACAGUGUGAGGC